rnacentral:rRNA from 1 species
AAGGAAUAUUGGUCAAUGGACGCAAGUCUGAACCAGCCAUGCCGCGUGAAGGAUGAAGGUCCUCUGGAUUGUAAACUACUUUUAUCUGGGACGAAAACGGGAUUUUUAUCUCAAUUGACGGUACCAGAGGAAUAAGCACCGGCUAACUCCGUGCCAGCAGCCGCGGUAAUACGGAGGGUGCGAGCGUUAUCCGGAUUUACUGGGAUUAAAGGGUGCGUAGGUGGGCUUAUAAGUCAGUGGUGAAAUCUCCGAGCUUAACUUGGAAACGGCCGGUGAUACUAUAGGUCUUGAAUUAUCUGGAGGUAAGCGGAAUAUGUCAUGUAGCGGGGAAAUGCUUAGAUAUGACAUAGAACACCAAUUGCGAAGGCAGCUUACUAAGCUGUAACUGACGCUGAGGCACGAAAGCGUGGGGAGCAAACA